ensembl:lncRNA
GAGAGAGAGAUGUAGAGAGAGAUGUAGAGAGAGAGAUAUAAAGAUGUAGAGAGAGAGAUAGAGAGAGAUGUAGAGAGAGGGAUGUAGAGAGGGAUGUAGAGAGAGAGAGAUGUAGAGAGAGAUGUAGAGAGAGAUGUAGAGAGAGAUGUAGGGAGAGAUGUAGAGAGAUGUAAAGAUGUAGAGAGAGAGGGAUGUAGAGAGAGGGAUGUAGAGAGAGGGAUGUAGAGAGAGGGAUGUAGAGAGAGGGAUGUAGAGAUGUAGAGAGAGGGAUGUAGAGAUGUAGAGAGAGAAGAUGUAGAGAGAUGUUGAGAGGGAGAGAUGUAGAGAGAGAUGUAGAGAGAGAUGUAGAGAGAGAUGUAGAGAGAGAUGUAGAGAGAGAUGUAGAGAGAGAUGUAGAGAGAGAUGUAGAGAGAGAUGUAGAGAUAGUCCAUUAGACACCUCGUCCUCCUGGCAGGUCUCAUCCAGGGCUGUGUCCUAAAGGGCACCCUAUUCCCUAUAUAGUGCACUACUUUUGGCCAAAGCCCUACAUAGGAAAUAGGGUGCCCCAGGUGUACUCCAGGCGGUCUACCCCCAGGUGUACUCCAGGC